GUCGAGUGCAGUGGCGUGUGCCUGUAGUCCCAGUGACUCGGGAGGCUGAGGUGGGACGAUCGCUUGAGCCCAGGAGUUCUGGACUGUAGUGCGCUAUGCCAAUCGGGUGUCCACAGUAAGUUUGGCAUCAAUAUGGUGACCUCCUGGGAGCAGGGGACCACCAGGUUGCCUAAGGAGGGGUGAACUGUCCCAGGUCGGAAACAGAGCAGGUCAAAACUCCCGUGCUGAUCAGUGGUGGGAUCGCGCCUGUGAAUAGCCACUGCACUCCAGCCUGGGCAACAUAGCGAGACUCCGUCUCU
rnacentral:SRP_RNA from 1 species